GACAGAGGGUGCAAACGUUGUUCGGAAUUACUGGGCGUAAAGCGCAUGUAGGCGGCCUAGCAGGUCGGAUGUGAAAUCCCUCGGCUCAACCAAGGAAGUGCAUUCGAAACCGCAAGGCUCGAGUCCCGGAGAGGAUGGUGGAAUUCUCGGUGUAGAGGUGAAAUUCGUAGAUAUCGAGAGGAACACCGGCGGCGAAGGCGGCCAUCUGGACGAGGACUGACGCUGAGAUGCGAAAGCGUGGGGAGCGAACAGG
rnacentral:rRNA from 1 species